rnacentral:rRNA from 1 species
UAUUGCGCAAUGGACGAAAGUCUGACGCAGCGACGCCGCGUGUGGGAGGAAGCCUUUCGGGGUGUAAACCACUGUCAGGAGGGAAGAAACUCGCCGGCCCGAACAGGAACGGCGAUUGACGGUACCUCCAAAGGAAGCGCCGGCUAACUCCGUGCCAGCAGCCGCGGUAAGACGGAGGGCGCAAGCGUUGUUCGGAAUUACUGGGCGUAAAGCGCGGGCAGGCGGUCUGUUAAGUCGUUUGUGAAAAUCCGGAGCUCAACUCCGGAAAUGCGUACGAUACUGGCAGGCUGGAGAUCGGUAGAGGCUAGCGGAAUUCCUGGUGUAGCGGUGGAAUGCGUAGAUAUCAGGAAGAACACCUGUGGCGAAGGCGGCUAGCUGGGCCGAGUCUGACGCUCAUCCGCGAAAGCGUGGGGAGCAAACAGG